AUUGAACGCUGGCGGCAGGCCUAACACAUGCAAGUCGAACGAGUGGCGGACGGGUGAGUAAUGUCUGGGCAACUGCCUGAUGGAGGGGGAUCACUACUGGAAAAGGUAGCUAAUACCGCAUACCAUCAGAUGUGCCCAGCUGGGAUGAGCUGGUUGGUGGGGUAACGGCUCACAAAGGCGACGAUCCCUAGCUGGACUGAGAGGAUGACCGGCCCCACUGGAACUGGGACACGGCCCAGCCUCCUACGGGAGGCAGCAGUGGGGAAUAUUGCACAAUGGGCGCAAGCCGGAUGCAGCCCUGCCGCGUGUAUGAAGAAGGCCUUCGGGUUGUAAAGUACGUUCAGCGGGGAGGCGUUACCCGCAGAAGAAGCACCGGCUAACUCCGUGCCAGCCGCCGCGGUAAUAC
rnacentral:rRNA from 1 species